GCUGCAGGAAGUUGCGCAUUUGUGGAACUGCCACAGAAAUUGCCCCAGCAGGAAUGCAGUUUGUCCAAGUGGACGACCACUAAUGAUGUACCGACUUCCCCACCUGUUUGGGACUACAGACCGCACCAGAGCAGUACUCCAUCAGCAAAUACAAGCUUGCAGAGAGGAAUCCCUGCCAAGAGGCCCAUAUCCAUGUGAUGAGACUGUUUUUGACAUUUGUUGCCUGGCAAUGUCCGAAAAUAAUCGACCCAUCCCCAGCCUACUAAUUCAGAGGAGACAAUCGAACAUUACCUGUUUUUAAGAGCAUACAUCCACACCCACAUUUAAUAGCUGUUCCCACAAAGACAGCUGACUUCAGAUCUACCUGACUGCAGGACACUAUAGCAGCAUUGAACAUGUUUACCUGUUAUUUUCUGUCUUAAAUGUGACUAUUUGAUCUCUGUAUUGUUUCUUAGAUUAAUGAUUUUGUAAUCAGCAUGUGUUCAGCUCGUAAAAUGGGAGACCGAAAUGUAUUAAAUCUAUGCUCUAUUUGUUAUUAUACAUUAAAAACAAUGUUGAAAGGCA